rnacentral:lncRNA from 1 species
GUGGAGUCUUGCUCUGUCACCCAGGCUGGAGUGCAGUGGCAUGAUCUUGGCUCACUGCAAACUCCACCUCCCAGAUUCAAGCGAUCCUCCCACUCAGCCUCCUGAGUAUCUGGGACUACAGGUGCCUGCCACCACACCCGGCUAAUUUUUGUAUUUUUAGUAGAGACGGGGUUUCACCAUGUUGGCCAGGCUGGUAUCGAACUCCUCACCUCAAGUGAUCCACCCACCUCAGCCACCCAAAGUUUUGGGAUUACAGGCGUAAGCCACCACACCCAGGAUGAAUAGGGCCUUUAAAGAGGCUGGAACAUGCAUGUAAUGGUGAUAAAGCUUCCUCUCUAGAGACAAGGACUAUGCAUAGUGGCAGAUGGAACAACAAAACAGAAUUUGCCUCCCUGGGUGACCCCUUAAAGCAGAAGUGCCUGGUUAGUCCUGUGCUAUCAUGGGAGAGAUGUGAAAAUUGAGACCAUCUCUGUCAAUAUGCUGAGACAAUACCUGUAGACUGCUGGUUCAGCAUCACUUAUUUAUUUGACCCAGGAAAAGAUAGAAAAUCAUCAACAUCAAUACAUUGGUGACAACAGACUGCUUACCAGGUCAGCGACACCACAGACACAAUGGUGCUGUUGUAGUUCUCUUGGGAAGAUGUCCAGGACAUCAAGGCAGUGGUUGAGCUUAAAACGUGGACACUCACGUGCUGCGGCUUCUCGGUCAGUUCUUCAAUCCACUCUCCUGAAGGACCUGCACAUUUCAAAUUGGAACACAGGGGAGGCUGCACGUUACACUGAUUGAGAUAAAAGAUUCUGGUUUAAAAAAUCAUGUUUUCUUUUUGCCCUUACAAUGAGAUUCAAAGAAAGAUUGGCGGUCGGACUGGCAACUCUUCAGGUCCUCUGCCCAGCUGCAACCCUCUACUCCUUGACCUCACCUUGAUCUAAACAGCAGCCUCGGCAAUAACAGCAGAAACAAAAGUGCCACUUCAAUCAUCGUGUGCAUGUGAGAGUAUUCUGAAUAGGAAUUCAGAGAAGAGAAAAGUCAGAAAGACCAGAAUUGUUGUGGAGUUUUCGUGGAGGCUGUUCACAUGUGCGGUGGAUCUGUACUGGUGCAGAAAGAAACUAUUUGAUCUUCUUAAAGAAAGAAUUAUUUCACAUUGCUUCACAGUCCAUCCAUCCUCUGCUGCUUAUUACUUCAUUUGAAGUCAUUAUCAUCAGUUGGUGACUACAACAGCCUUCAAAAGAAGACACUGAGUCAGAUAAAUGCAUAAUAGAACCUUCAUGAGAAGAGGCAGUAAAAAAUUUUUGUAAUGACAAGAUCCUAUUUGCCGUAGGAACAUAUUUAGGAACAGAAAAAUAAAUGAUAGAUUAAGGAAACUUUAAAAAAAAUAGGAAAUUCCAGGAAAAUGACUUUUGACUCAAAUAAUUAAGAAUUUUCAUUUUAUGUAAUAUUUGGGUAUGGUUGAAUGCUGUAUCAUCUUGUAUAGAAGAAUCCACAGAUUUUGUAUCUCAUGCUAUUAAGUAAAAUAGGAGUAAACAAUAUGUCAGUAUAUGAGACUACAUGGGCCUUAAACUCUCACCCUAAAAAUAAGGCUAUCACUGUAACUUCAAAUUUUUACAAAUUAUAACCUCUGCCACUCAAACUACUAGAUCAGAAAAUGGAAAAUGAAGUAUAUUACUGUAAAAACUAAACAAACAACAAAUAACCAUAAAAAUCUACCAAACAACAAUUGAGAUAGGUAUCAUGACCCAAACUUGUUGAAAGUCAUGGCUCUACUUUCCUAAGUUAGUGGCUAAAAUAUAAAGAAUGAACCUCAGAUGCUGAGUUAGUCAAUGCAAAAUAUAAUAUAGUAGCUAUAUGGAAAUGUCAGCAGCUGUGUAUUUUCCAUUUUACUAUCAGCUUCUCUUUGGAAAACUGUGGUGCUUUUUCUAGAGGGGCGCACCCUAAAGGGAACAAGAGCGGCUGGUUAGCAGGACACAUGCCUCAUAUUCUUGAGGAAGUAGUAAUGUUUUCAUAAGUAUUACUUUGCUGCCAUGUUUAAAAAUUUGCAUAUGAGAAAACAGAAAAUUUCUCUAGGUUAUGUUGUAACAUUCUGGGAUAGUUAGAUCUUUAAUUCAAAAUAUUUCCAAAUAUGAUGUUUUCCUCAUUGUUCUGAGACAUGAGAAAUAGUGGGCAGUCAAAUGUAUACAGUUGGCAGUACUUACAACUUGUGAAUCACCCAAACCUUCUGAUUCUUAUCCAGUCUAUUCAUUUGGGUUUUCUGCUCUCAGUCUGCAUUGGAUACUCAAUUAAAUUCUCCCCUUUCAUUACCAUUAUUCUUUGACUAAUAACUGUCUAUGAUCAGUCUUUCUAAACUCAAAUUUAAAAACAUUUCAAUUCCCCUUCCUUUGUAUCAGUUCUUAUUUCCUCUGAUUUCCUACUGCUUUACCUUCUCGUUCAAUAUGGAUAUGGAACCCAUCAAAAGCAGUGGGUGGUUUGGGUGGUAAC